rnacentral:rRNA from 1 species
GAUGAACGCUGACAGAAUGCUUAACACAUGCAAGUCAACUUGAACUUCGGUUUGGGUGGCGGACGGGUGAGUAACGCGUAAAGAACUUGCCUCACAGAUAGGGACAACAUUUGGAAACGAAUGCUAAUACCUGAUAUUAUGAUUUUAGGGCAUCCUAGGAUUAUGAAAGCUAUAUGCGCUGUGAGAGAGCUUUGCGUCCCAUUAGCUAGUUGGAGAGGUAACGGCUCACCAAGGCGAUGAUGGGUAGCCGGCCUGAGAGGGUGAUCGGCCACAAGGGGACUGAGACACGGCCCUUACUCCUACGGGAGGCAGCAGUGGGGAAUAUUGGACAAUGGACCAAGGGUCUGAUCCAGCAAUUCUGUGUGCACGAUGAAGUUUUUCGGAAUGUAAAGUGCUUUCAGUUGGGAAGAAAAAAAUGACGGUACCAACAGAAGAAGUGACGGCUAAAUACGUGCCAGCAGCCGCGGUAAUACGUAUGUCACAAGCGUUAUCCGGAUUUAUUGGGCGUAAAGCGCGUCUAGGUGGUUAUGUAAGUCUGAUGUGAAAAUGCAGGGCUCAACUCUGUAUUGCGUUGGAAACUGUGUAACUAGAGUACUGGAGAGGUAAGCGGAACUACAAGUGUAGAGGUGAAAUUCGUAGAUAUUUGUAGGAAUGCCGAUGGGGAAGCCAGCUUACUGGACAGAUAUUGACGCUGAAGCGCGAAAGCGUGGGUAGCAAACAGG